UAUCCCUCUCUCCUCUCUUCAAUGGCGAUGUCACGACUCUAGCGCCUCCUCUUCCUCCACUUCUUCUUUUUCUCCUCCAAGCAAGAGAUAGAUUCACCAGCUUCGGAACUUUGAUAGAUGGAUUUGCAAGCUUCAAAGCCUCUCCUUCAUACAUUCAAGACAAAUGGAGUUCCUCUUCUUCUCUUUCGAGAGACAAACGAGACAAGAUGAUAGGAAUAUGUAUUCUAGAAUAUAUGAUAACAUAAAGGAUAACGUUUGUUGGAUAGGAUUGUGGGUGGAAGCUUGUGACAGGAUAGCAAGCAAAGUGGGCAGAAAUUUGUAUAAAGAAAAAAAAGGGGCGAAUGAAAAGGGGCAUCUGAAAAUAUAUCAAUGAUGUCUCUGGUUAGAGGGGAGGGUUCUUCUCAUCACAGGAAGCUUUUCCUGGAGGCUCUUAGGAGUCAUUUUACUUUUCUUGCUUGGUUCUUUUAUUAUUCUUGUUUCAAGUUUUGCUGUGAGUGUUGCUAUAAUAGACUUGUAGUUUCUUCCAUUGCCAAUCAAUACAGGUUUUUCAUCACAUUUUCAUAUUCACUCCAUUGCUCUUCUCAUUUACAAGCUAACUUUGUUUGUAACUCUAUCACAAGAUAUGUUAUUUUGGUCGUUUGUACCUUGAAGAGGUUUUUUUUGGGUAAACUGCAAUUUAGUCCCUCUAAUUUAGUGAAAUAUAAAUCAAUGACUGUGAUUUUUAAAAGCUAUGCCAUUGGUCCCUCCCAUUAGAUCUUCAGUUAAGUCACCGUUAGUCUUCAAUUUAUAAAUUGAUCAAUAAAAAGUUAAAUAGAAAAUUCCUAGAUUGCCCUUUAACUAGCGUUGAUGGCGCUUGCGGGUCUGCCCACAUUUUCCAUGCUUGAUUCCUCAUUUUUGAGGGAGUCGCAGUCGCCCACUUCAAGGAGGCAGGGGGCUGUUGAGUGUUGCUGUGAGUGUUGCUAUAAUAGACUUGUAGUUUCUUCCAUUGCCAAUCAAUACAGGUUUUUCAUCACAUUUUCAUAUUCACUCCAUUGCUCUUCUCAUUUACAAGCUAACUUUGUUUGUAACUCUAUCACAAGAUAUGUUAUUUUGGUCGUUUGUACCUUGAAGAGGUUUUUUUUGGGUAAACUGCAAUUUAGUCCCUCUAGUUUAGUGAAAUAUAAGUCAAUGACUGUGAUUUUUAAAAGCUAUGCCAUUGAUCCCUCCCGUUAGAUCUUCAAUUAAGUCACCGUUGGUCUUCAAUUUAUAAAUUGAUCAAUAAAAAGUUAAAUAGAAAAUUCCUAGAUUGCCCUUUAACUAGCGUUGAUGGCGCUUGCGGGUCUGCCCACAUUUUCCAUGCUUGAUUCCUCAUUUUUGAGGGAGUCGCAGUCGCCCACUUCAAGGAGGCAGGGGGCUGUUGAACGGCCUACUACUCAGGCAUCUACAAUUCUUCAAAUGUGGCGGGAGUUGGAGGAUGAGCAUUUAUUGAAUAGGGCACGAGGCAGAGUGAGGGAGAGAAUGAGACAAUAAAGGAUUGUGGAGUAGUCCAAUACAAAUAUGUCAAGUACAAACAUGUCAGAGAGAGAGCUGGGGUAGUGAGAAUCCGGGAAGCUUGGUGGAUGCAAGUGAGAGCGAGAAUGAAUUUGUACCUUGGUCACAUGAGCAGCUGGGCACACAAAAUGAGAAUGGGGAUACUAAUGGGUCUAGUAGGGAGCAAUCUCCUGAUCUUAGUGAAGUUGAGAGGGAGAGGGUGAGGCAGAUUGUUCAAGGAUGGAUGGAGAGUGGCAUUAGUGAUCA
rnacentral:lncRNA from 1 species